AGGCUCCAGGACACCUCUGGACAGAUUGGGUGCAAGCUUAAGUGCCAUGCCCUCCUGGAAGGACACCAGAUCCUUUAAGGGGGCAACAGAGACUUCACUCGAUGCCAGCUGCUCCUUUUCCACCACAUCCUGUGGCAGUGUGACAUUGCCAAAUAGCCUCCCCGUUCCCAAAUGGAGCUCCACGCCUGGAGUAAUGGACAUCUCAUCUAAGCGUCCGGAUGUUGGGCAGCGGAAUAUGCAUUCGCUGGAGGGUUUUGUAACCAGUGGUGCCAGCAGUAAAUUUAACCUUUGCCUUAUUAGGUCCUCCACAGUCGCCCCAUCAGUCCCUGGCGGUCUGGUCCCUGGCGGUCUGGUCCCUGGCGGUCUGGUCCCUGGAGCAGCUGGCCCUGGAGCAGAUGGUCCUGGCAAAGUUAUAACUUCACUGUUGACCCCUGACUGACUGGCCCUCGGCACACACAUCCCUGGAUCACCUGCCCCUGGAUCACCUGCCACUGAAUCACCUGCCACUGGCAAUGUGGCCUCUUGAUUUCUCUCUCUGUCUCCUGGCAUGUCCCUUUCGAUGCUCUUAAAAUCCACCUCAAUUUCUCCCUCAAUCUCUGUAAAAAUUACAAGGUAAUGUUGCUGUUAUAUGUAUUUUGCCUUUGCAUUUGCAACUACUGUCAUCUCCAAUGUAGGAAAUGAAUUGAAGCGAAACAUUUCUGUAAUGUGAAUUAAAUCAUCUGCCACAAUCAGAAACCAAUAAAAUGUAUUAAUGGAUCUACCGGC
ensembl:lncRNA